rnacentral:rRNA from 1 species
GAUGAACGCUGGCGGUGUGCCUAACACAUGCAAGUCGAACGACCACACCGUAAGCUUGUGCUCUUACGGGUGGCGGGUGGCGGACGGGUAAGGCAUGCAUCACCCUCCUCUUUUUCGUGGGUAAUAACGUGGGGAAACUUCCGCUAAUGCCUCAUACAACCUACGGCUGAGAUCAGUGGAUCUUCGCACCUUGCGCGAUUGAAUUAGCCGGUGUCGGAUUAGCUAGUUGGCUGGGUAACGGACCACCAAGGCGACGAUCCGUAGCUGAUCUGAGAGGAUGAUCGGCCACACUGGAACUGAGACACGGUCCAGACUCCUACGGGAGGCAGCAGUGGGGAAUAUUGGGCAAAGGGCGAAAGCCUGACGCAGCCACACCGCGUGGGUGAAGAAGGCCUUCGGGUUGUAAAGCCCUUUUAUUGGGAAAGAACAGCUGUAUGUUUAACCCCCGCUGUUUUGACGGUACCUAAAGAAUAAGCAACGGCUAACUACGUG